GCCUUAGUAACCACCCUUGAGAUUAUUAUUAUUAUUUUUUUUUUGAGAUCAAUGAAAAAUUCAUUUCUAAUGGGAACAAUUCACAAAUUCUGGUAGGACACCAGAGAAGUAAAAAUCAGAACAGCUAGAGAGAGCAAACUUUGCAAGCUGAUCUGCUAAAGAGAUAUAGGACCGCCUAACCUAACUCCCACGAACAUCUACUUCUAUCGCAAGCUCUCUAGCUAAUAUCUUCCAACAAAAAUUCAAGGGGUGAGAAAUUCAGAAGUUGAAGUUUGAGUUUUGAAAAUUAGCUCCUGCAGUCAGUCUCAACCACCAAGCCUUAGAAUCCUUUAUUCUUCACCACCAAGAGACCUUCACGAAUUGCCAUCCCUUCACCCAUUGCAACAGUAGUUGCUCUAUUCAUCAACAGAAAUAAUAACAAAUAAAAAAAGAACUUACUUGCAGACAAGGUGUAGAGGAUUUACUCCAACAUUUUUCUCACCCAAGGCAAGCCCAAUACAGUUCUCAAU
rnacentral:lncRNA from 1 species